AUGGCGUUUCUGGGAGGAUCAUUGCACGUGACGAAGAGCAUUAGCAGCCGGAAGAUGAUGGAGGGGAAGAGCCAUGGCGGGUCGGGGUCGUGGGGGCAGGCGCCAGCACCCAUGAGGCAGCUCUUCCGGAGGGUGAGACGUGCCGUGCUACGCCCAAAGCGCCGCACCGUGAGUUUUGGAUACGACCUCAAGAGCUACUCCCAGAACUUUGACGACGGCCUCGUCCCUGCCCACCGCCUCUAG
rnacentral:rRNA from 1 species